rnacentral:rRNA from 1 species
UGGUGAACACAUAGCCACCGAGCGGGGAACCCGGGGAACUGAAACAUCCAAGUACCCGGAGGAAAAGAGAAGAUUCCGUGAGUAGUGGCGAGCGAAAGCGGAGUAGCCUAAACCGUUGCGACUUCGGUUGCAGCGGGGUUGUAGGACCGACAGCAAGCAGACUCUGGUAGUCGAACAGCACUGGAAAGGCUGGCCAAAGCGGGUGAUAGCCCCGUAGACGAAACAAAGGGUGUGUGGGUCGGGAUCCUGAGUACGGCGGGACACGAGAAAUCCUGCCGGAAGCUGGGGAGACCACUUCCCAAGGCUAAAUACAAUUGACGACCGAGAGUGAACCAGUACCAUGAGGGAAAGGUGAAAAGCACCCCGGUAAGGGGAGUGAAAUAGAACCUGAAACCAUGUGCUUACAAGCAGUCAGAGCCCGAUGCCGGUUCGCCGGCCGGGUGAUGGCGUGCCUCUUGGAGAAUGAGCCGACGAGUUACUCUCAGUGGCAAGGUUAAGGCAGAGACAGCCGGAGCCGCAGCGAAAGCGAGUCUGAAGAGGGCGUAGAGUCGCUGGGAGUAGACCCGAAACGGGGUGAGCUAGCCAUGGCCAGGGUGAAGUGGGCGUAACAGCUCAUGGAGGCCCGAACCGAUGUAUGUUACAAAAUGCUCGGAUGAGCUGUGGCUAGGGGUAAAAUGCCAAUCGAACCCCGUGAUAGCUGGUUCUCUCCGAAAUAACUUUAGGGUUAGCGUCAUCUGAUGAGCAACGGAGGUAGAGCACUGAUCGAGGUAGGGGCCUAACGGGCUACCGAACUCCUUCAAACUCCGAAUGCCGUUGUGAGAGGAUGGCAGUCGGGCAGUGGGGGAUGAGCCUCAUUGCCGAGAGGGAAACAACCCAGACCGACAGCUAAGGUCCCCAAGUGGUGACUAAGUGGGAAAGGAUGUGGGGUUACUGAGACAGCCAGGAGGUUGGCUUAGAAGCAGCCACCCUUGAAAGAGUGCGUAAUAGCUCACUGGUCAAGUGAUCCUGCGCCGAAAAUAUAACGGGGCUCAAGUCACCCACCGAAGCUACGGGUGUGCGUAAGCACGCAGUAGGCGAGCGUUCUGAUAGGCUGUGAAGCCGUACCGGAAGGAGCGGUGGAGCUGUCAGAAGUGAGAAUGUUGGCACGAGUAGCGAAAACGAUGCGAGAAUCAUCGUCCCCGUAAAUCUAAGGUUUCCGACGGAAGGUCAAUCCACGUCGGGUGAGUCGGGCCUAAGGCGAGGCGGAAGCGCGUAGCCGAUGGACAACAGGUUAAUAUUCCUGUACCAUGCCAAGUUGAUUGAGCGAAGGGGUGACGCAGAAGGGUAGGUUGGCCGGCCGUUGGUCGUGCCGGUGCCAAGCUUUGAGGUGUCGAGACCAGGGCGAAAAGACUGGUUGAGCCAAGGAGUGACGGCGAGCCCGCAAGGGCGGAAGCAAUUGAGCCCAAGCUGCCAAGAAAAGCCUCUAGUGAGACUUGCAUGCCCGUACCGCAAACCGACACAGGUAGAUGGGUAGAGAAUACCAAGGGGGCCGGGGGAAUCUCCGCUAAGGAAUUAGGCAAAAUAGGUCCGUAACUUCGGGAGAAGGACCGCCGGAGUAGGGUGCAAGCUCGAAACGGCCGCAGAGAAAUGGCUCUAUCGACUGUUUAUCAAAAACACAGGUCUGUGCGAAGUCGCAAGACGAAGUAUACAGGCUGACGCCUGCCCAGUGCCGGAAGGUUAAGGGGAGGGGUGCAAGCCCUGAACUGAAGCCCCGGUGAACGGCGGCCGUAACUAUAACGGUCCUAAGGUAGCGAAAUUCCUUGUCGGGUAAGUUCCGACCCGCACGAAAGGCGUAACGAAUGGAGCGCUGUCUCGGCGGAGAGCCCGGUGAAACUGAAUUAGGAGUGAAGAUGCUUCUUACCCGCAGCUGGACAAAAAGACCCCGUGGAGCUUUACUGUAGCUUGGCAUUGGGUUAGGACGUAGUCUGUGUAGGAUAGGUGGGAGACUGAGAAGCUGGGGCGCUAGCCUCGGUGGAGUCACCGGUGAAAUACCACUCUGAUUACGUUUUGACUCUAACCUUCACCGUUAUCCGGUGAGGAGACAGUGCCAGGUGGGCAGUUUGACUGGGGCGGUCGCCUCCUAAAAGGUAACGGAGGCGUGCAAAGGUGCCCUCAGGCUGAAUGGAAACCAGUCGAAGAGUGCAAACGCAUAAGGGCGCUUGACUGCGAGACGAACAGGUCAAGCAGAGACGAAAGUCGGCGUUAGUGAUCCUAUGGUACCGAGUGGAAGGGCCAUGGCUUAACGGAUAAAAGCUACCCCGGGGAUAACAGGCUAGUCUCCCCCAAGAGUUCACAUCGACGGGGAGGUUCGGCACCUCGAUGUCGGCUCGUCACAUCCUGGGGCCGUAGCAGGUCCCAAGGGUCGGGCUGUUCGCCCGUUAAAGUGGUACGCGAGCUGGGUUCAGACCGUCGUGAGACAGGUCGGUCUCUAUCCGCUGUGGGCGUAAGGGAAUUGAGAAGAGCUGCCCCUAGUACGAGAGGACCGGGGUGGACGGACCGCUGGUGUGCCAGUUGUGGUGCCAACCGCAUCGCUGGGUAGCUAAGUCCGGGAUGGAUAACCGCUGAAAGCAUCUAAGUGGGAAGCCGGCUUCGAGAUAAGUUCCCUCACAGGGCAACCUGGUAAGUGUGCUGGAAGACGACCAGCUUGAUAGGCGGUGCGUGUACAGCCAGCAAUGGUUUGAGCGAAACCGUACUAAUACACGAGGGCUUAAUCA